rnacentral:rRNA from 1 species
GACGAACGCUGGCGGCGUGCUUAACACGUGCAAGUCGAACGGAAAGGCCCUGCUUUUGUGGGGUGCUCGAGUGGCGAACGGGUGAGUAACACGUGAGUAACCUGCCCUUGACUUUGGGAUAACUUCAGGAAACUGGGGCUAAUACCGGAUAGGAGCUCCUGCUGCAUGGUGGGGGUUGGAAAGUUUCGGCGGUUGGGGAUGGACUCGCGGCUUAUCAGCUUGUUGGUGGGGUGGUGGCUUACCAAGGCUUUGACGGGUAGCCGGCCUGAGAGGGUGACCGGCCACAUUGGGACUGAGAUACGGCCCAGACUCCUACGGGAGGCAGCAGUGGGGAAUAUUGCACAAUGGGCGGAAGCCUGAUGCAGCAACGCCGCGUGCGGGAUGACGGCCUUCGGGUUGUAAACCGCUUUCGCCUGUGACGAAGUGUGAGUGACGGUAAUGGGUAAAGAAGCACCGGCUAACUACGUG